UACGAAGGUGGCAAGCGUUACUCGGAAUUACUAGGCGUAAAGGGCAGGUAGGUGGUUUGAUAAGUCUGUUGUGAAAGCUCCCGGCUUAACUGGGAGAGGUCAACGGAUACUAUCAGGCUUGGAGUGAUGGGAUGAGGUACUGGAAUUCCCGGUGUAGCGGUGAAAUGCGCAGAGAUCGGGAGGAACACCAAUGGCGAAAGCAGGUAACUGGACCAUUACUGACACUCAGCUGCGAAAGCUAGGGGAGCAAACAGGG
rnacentral:rRNA from 1 species